rnacentral:rRNA from 1 species
ACUCCUACGGGAGGCAGCAGUGGGGAAUAUUGCGCAAUGGGGGAAACCCUGACGCAGCAACGCCGCGUGUGUGAUGAAGGCCUUCGGGUCGUAAAGCACUGUGAGGUGGAACGAGCCGCCGGGGGCUAAUACCCUUCGGCCCGACGGUACCACCAGAGGAAGCACCGGCUAACCCUGUGCCAGCAGCCGCGGUAAU